AUAGUUUUAUACACUUAAUCGGCAGAAAUCAUACGCAUAUUGCUUUGAGUUAUGAUGGCUAAACGACUCUUAUUGAUUUUGACUAUCGUUCCUGUGAUAUUAUCGAAGAAGAAUGGGCAAGAACCGUCAAAGUACGUGUAUUCCCAAGAUUCAUCGGACGAAGAAGAUAGUAUCUUCAAUAUCCACGAGAUAGGUGCCUACACUUUUGAACCUCUUCACGGAACAAUCUAUUACAGUCACCCGCUGAAGCCUCAUCGCCGGUCUGGUUGGCCUCCCAUUGGUCCUGUCCAAAAAUCGGUUCCUUCGAAACCAGCAGAAAAACUAAUACAAAGUUUUCCACCUCUAAAACCAAGCAAAGGGUGGCCUGACGUUGCCUCUGACCCGGAAUCAGAACCUUUCACACAUCCGGAAACACUCAGGCCGAGAAUUUCACCUCUAAAAGCAAUCAUAGGCUGGCCUCCCAUUGGACCAUAUUAGCAAAAGAAUAAAAAAGCUACCAUGAUAAUAAAUAGUUGAUUUUUUGCUCUAUGAAUAAAAUUAUCGUUAUUAUUUCAAUAAACGUUUUACAAUUACAAUACUAUGAAAACUUGUUUCAUAUUAGUUUUAUAUUUUGGUAUAAAUGGUACUUUUUUAAGUAUUAAUUAAUAGUAUGCAAAUAUUUACAAUGUUCUAUAAUAUUUAGGUACACCACAUGCAAUGUGUAUGUUAUGGUAAUCUGACCGAUUUUAUGUUUUAAGUCACAAUAGCCUAUCUUUUAUUACUUAGAUCUGCCCAUAUAUGCAUGACUAUAAAAUUAAAGAUACGUGAAUAGUUAAUAAUAUAAAAA